GGGAGGGGUAGGAGGAGAGAGAGGAUCCGGCAGGAGGAGAGAUGGAGCUCGGUGAGAUGAGGUGAGGUGAGGUGGAGAGAAAGAAAAAGGCUCGAUCCACGUCGAGUGGGUGUAGGGAUACAAGAAAGCCCGCCGAAAAGCCACCGGCGGUGCAGAUUCGGCCUUGGAUCGCACCUUUCGCAAACCCACAAGCUUUGGGAAAACCACCGGCGCUGACGGUCGGAGGCAAAGGGAAGGAGGGGACUCACGGGAAGGGGAGGCCGUAGAGAGAGACGACCCCUCGGCGGAAGAGAAGGAGCUCGGUGAGAUAAGGUGGAGAGAGGGGAACCAGCUGCAGGAUCUCGGCGAGAAAGAGCAAGAGAAGGAGCUUUACCUUGUGACGAAGAGGGGAAGAAGAAGUCAGCAGGGGUAUUUUUGGAAAAAUCCAGAUCCGAGCACACAACGACAAAAGGUGGGUGGGAACAACACCCCUCACUUAUCCCAAUGGUGGUAGGAACUGUUGUUCCCACCACCAAAAAAGUUGUUUGGGGAAUAGCUGGGGGAUAAGAGAUUAUUCCCCAGCUAAUUCCAAAGCCAAACACAGCCCUAUAGGGGAUCACUAUCAUCCUAACCUUACAAUAUUUCAUUCAAGAGUUAAAAACUCGAUAGCAACAGAGUCAAAAUACUAUUGAUAGUAUUCUAACCCAAUUCUCUCUCUCUCUCUCUCUCUCUCUCUUUCUUUCUCUCUCUCUCUCUCUCUCUCUCUCUCUCUCUCUCUCUCUCUCUAUAUAUAUAUAUAUAUAUAUAUCAGGAAGAAGAGAGUAGUAGAGAGAGAAAGAGAGAGCUAAGAUACUAUAUUAUCGGUAGCACGGAGGCCUCUGUACUACCAAGUUGUUUUCAAUAAUGCAACUUUCAUAUCAACGAUCGACUCUAUUAGACUUGAUUUACACUAUUGAAAGUAUUUGAAAACUAAAUUUCAUAAUUUGCAAUAUAAUUUGACUGGUGAUCAAAAGAUCAAAAAACUUUACAAUUUUAAUGGUCGAUGUGAUGCGUUUGUAAAUUUAAAGGUGUAAAGUAAUUCAAAUCUAAUUAAAUUUCUGUAGAAAAUUCUUUUCACUAUUUAGAGUAAGAUCAUUACCUCUGAUCUUAAAUUCAAGUCUUGUAUUAUCAUUUUUUAUCAGAUUUUUAUUUUCAGUCAUUUAUUUUUAGACUACUCGUUUGAUAGAUAAAUGAUAUUGAAAACUUAUAAAAUUUAGUUUUCAAAUAUUUUCAAUAGCAUAGAUCAAGUCUAAUAGAGUCGAUCGUCGAUUUGAAAGCUGCAUCAUUAAAAACAACUUGAUAACACGAAGGCUUUCGUGCUACUGAUAGUAUAGCAGGCGCCACACUAUAUAUAUAUCUAGUGUAGAGCUAUUAUAUUUUCGAAUAUAUAAGAAAGUUGGUGCUUUUGACUUUUUGGCAAGGGGGGACUGAUGGUGGUGGGGUGGUUGAGGGUCGGCGGCGCUGCAAGGCAUGUGGGAGGGUGAGGGAGGUGGUGUGGUGGCGAUGGCGAGGGUGGCGCCUACCUCCACCGUGGCGACAUAUGGAAAGGGAUGGGGAGGGGUUGAUGGUGAAAGGUGCGUUGGGGUAGAGGUGGUGGUGAGAAGGAUGAGAGAGAGAAGAGAAAUUAAGGAGAAAUUCAAAGAGAGGAAAAAUUGAGAGAGACAGUAAAAAGGAAAGAAAAAUUUUCCUAUCUAUCAAUUUUGAUGAAUGGUUAGGAACUUAGGAGCACAAAGCUUGUUGUGCUAUUAGAACUAGGCUAGAAUACUAUUAAUAGCACAAAGUCUUUGGUGCUAUUAGGUUUUUGGCCCUUGGAUGAAAUGAUGUGCGGUUAGGAUAAUAGUAGUUCUAUAAGGUAAAGUGGAUGGUUCGUGGAAUGGUAUGAUCUAAUAGGUAGAAAUGGUCAAAGAGUUAGAUUUAACGGCGAAAAAGUUGAUAGUACCAAAUACUUGAUGUUAUUGAUAAUAUUGUAGCCGGACUCUCUAUAUAUAUAGUACAUAGAUUCUAUCAUAAAGAUUGUUCUACCAUUGUAGCUUGAUCAAGCAUCACCCUCUCCUCUUCAAGGCAAAGACUAACACAUGAUACUUUGCUUUUCCUUUCAAGAGGUGCCUUGCAAUGUUAUUUGCAUACCUUGAGAACAACUCAUCAAGUAUGCCCUCCCCAAAAUGGCUACUAAUUAGGGGCUCAGCCACUGCUCUUAUACACUUGGCCACAUUCGCGCCGCUUUGGAGAUUGUCGAGCACAAAAUCGUCGCACGAAUCGUCGAAAGGGUCCCAAUUCGACUCGAAAUACUGCAUUCGGCUGAUGUCGAAUAGCCCUCCCUCCUGAAUCACUUCCUUAACUUCUGCCAUGCUAGGCGUAUACAUCGGUACUUUGAAGCAGUACAACUUUUCCCUCUCCACAAGUCCCUAAAAUUGGGCAAUCAAUACAGCUCUGCUCAAGCAACUUUUCAGUUGCUUGGUGGGUAAACAAAUUAAAAUUAACAUAUAAUUAGAAAAAAAAUUAUUUUACCUCUGAGACCAUGUCAUGAAGCGCAUCUUGUAGUAACCCCCAAAUAUAUCUUUCAUCUCCAAUUGACAGAUUCUUCUCCUCACUCCCCAGAAAUGUUAACACCAUUUGGCCUCCAGAGGCAAGUUCUUCGUGGCGAAAAUUGAGAAAAUUUGAGAAGCCAUUUUUGAAUUCUUGUGCAUAUAAGUUCACCACCCAAGGGGGACUUGUUUCUCCAAUAUAAAUGUUUCCUUCGUCUAAUAGAGUGCCUGUUUUGCUCUUAAGCCCUUCAAGAAUCUAAAUUAACAAUACGAGGCCAAAGUUCUCUCCAUUCAAUUAAGAAAACAUUUGGGUUUUUUCAAGGAAAAGCAUAGAAAUUAAAGAAAAUUCCUCUGUGCAUGCAUAUGUUUGCAGCUUAUAUACACAUUCAGGCAUAUUCUUUCCUUUUUAUGUAUGUACUAGUUAAGAACACGCGCCAUGCCAUGAAUAUAAAAUAUUUUAAUAUUAAAAUUUAAUUAAUUUUUGUUAACUAAAUUAAUUUAAAUAAAAAUAAUUUAAAUUGGUAUAUGCAAGUGCAACAUAAAUUUUUGUCUAAAAUAAUAUUUUUUUUUAGCAGUAAUGCAUGGAUUGGAGAGAAAAAAAAAAUCAUGGGAUAUCAAUGAGAAAAUAAAAUUAUAUAAGAUAGAAAAAUAAAAAUAAAUCUAAAAUACAGUGUGAAGACUGAUAAAAUAUAAUAAUACUUAGUGCGUUUGAAAAAAAAAUAGUAUGAUAUAACAAAUAAAAAUAUGUUUGAUUCAUAAUUAGAAUAGAAAUUAGAAAUAAAAUUGAAUUGCAUUGAAAUGAGAAAUGAUCUUAUCGAAAAAUAUUUAAUCCAAUAUAUUAGAAUGAAAAUAGGAAUGGAUAUUAAGGAUUUUAAAAAUGAGCUUUGGUUAAGAGAAAAGAGUGAUGAAAAGAGACAAGGGAGAAGUGUUCGUGAAAGAAAGUUUUAAGUAGUGUAGUUUGGAAUUGGACAAUCUGGAAUUCAAAACUGGAUUGCGCAAUAAAAUAAGUCAUUUUCAUUUUAAAGUGAAAUUGGAAAAUAAUUUAUGUAAAUUAUAAACAACAACUAUCAAAAUUAAUAAAUCUUAUUUUGAUUUCAUAGUUUACAAUAGGUGAACCAAACAUGCUCUAAAGUACAUAUGUACCUGUCGGAGCCACAUGAGACAAUACGAAGAGUGAAAGAAGUGGACGCUUUGAGGCGGAAAAAGCCUGCCAUAGAAGGAGCCGGGCAAUCCUGCGAUGUAGUAAGGAAUGAAUGUCUUCUUAUCCAUUUUCUGCUCAAACCACUCGAGAGAUCGAAAAAUGUUGUUAAAAUCGUUUGUCGGCAGGUCGUUCAAGAAGAACUGGAGGUCCGGCGGGGGGCGUCCUGCCUUCUUGCACUGGUCGGCCACUGUUUUGAUCACUUCCGACACCAUGAGAAGCGUGUUCGGGCCCGACGAGCAACCCAAGUCGGCCGCGACCAUACUCUUCGGCAGGAGAGUCCUGCAAAUCUCUCCUAUUACCUCCUCUAAGAUGGGCUUGGUCUCCAAUAUAGCCUUCUCCUGGGAUUAGUUACGCAACAAAUUUAAAGAGAUCAUUGAUUUAUACACUUAGGGCUGUUUGGUUGUAUGUAGUCACAGUUGCACUGUAGUGAUAAAAUAUAUAGAUUUAAAUUUAGUAUUUGAUUUGACGUUUUUGAAUUCAACUACAGAAGUUGAAACUAUAUUGUAGUUGGGCGUAAUUCUAUCUAUAGUAGUUGAAGAAAGUAAUUUUAAAUAAAAGAGAAAUAUAAUGAAGAAUUUUACCAUUCAAUUUUUGAUUCUGAUUUAUUUCGUUUCCUAUUCCAAUUUUAAUUCCUAUUUUGAAUCAAACAUGUCCAUAUUGUAUACAUUUUUAAACUUUUGUCAAAUUCGAAAGUAAAUUAAUGGACUAUUAAUGUUGAGAAGGAAAGGAAAAAAAGAAAAGAGGUAAGAAGAUAUUUUCAGGUGCAUGGAUGUAUAUAUAUUGAGAACGUAUAGAGCUGCUUAUCAGUAUCUUCUCUUUUUUUUUUAAGCAAAAUUAAAAAUUUCAAAUUAAAACUUCUAUUUCUAGAGCACAAAAUCAAAUCAUUAUAUUUUUCACCAUAGCAAGAUUUUUAAUUUUUCUAAUUACAAAAUGAUCAAUUCGAGGUAACUAUAGUUGAAAGCAAAAACAGAAGCAACAGCACCGCAAAACGAAAUCUAAAGUAAAUGGGAAAUGCAAGGAAUUAACUAACUUGAAGCCUGGAAUUGGUGGCAUAACUUGUUUCUCCUCCCCCACCAACCAUGCUGUGUGCUUUCCCUGCCCUCAUCGUGCGUAGCUGCAAUGUAAGACUGUAAGUGGCAGUUCAAAGGGCUCUAUUUAUUUAUAGCGCCUUGUCACGUGUAAAUCGUUGGGGCUCGACCGUAACGUUCUUGGGGGCCACACGAAGAAAAAAGUUAUGUCCGUGAAACCUUACCGCACAAGAAUAUUAAAAGAAUAUAAUGUACAUAAAUUAUCUGAACUUUUGGUUUUAUGCAAAUAUGCGUAAAAACUUUCAAUUUUGUCGACUAAAUAUCCCAAAUUUAUUAAAUAGUUCAAUCGAUCGCUCUACUUAAUUAAAGCAAUUAAUUUUACAAUCAUUUUUGGCCGUAUGCAUUGCAUAUAGUUUGGUAAAUCUUUAAAACGCAGAAAUUUAUAUUUUGUAUUCUAAUAUGUGAAACAAUAAUAAAACUAAAAGCUUAGUUCAAUCGAUAUAUUCUUCACUCGUCAUAUUUAAUUAAUUAUCAAUAUUAGAAGGAAAAAAAAACAUUCUUUAUAUUUUGAAGUCUUAUAUGAUUAUAUACAGGUUAUACAGAAUUGAACGUUCAGACGCCUAUUUACAGAAAGAUCUAAAGUUCAGGAAGCUGCUUCUAUAUAUUUUAGAACAAGUCUAAAUUGUGAUGAUCAUAAAAAGUGACGUGGUGUUUUCAACCAAUCAAAUUAUUUAGGGUUCACUUAUCUCAUCAUGAUUUUUAAAAAUAUUUUUACCAUUCUUUUCUUUCAGAAAAAAGAUAUAAUUGAUUAGAUAUAAAUAAUGUGGUAUUAUUGUUACACUUUAGACUUUUUUAUACAUUUUAUCCAAAAAUAAAAUAUAAUAAAAUAAAAUGAAAUCAAGUAAUGGGUAGGGCUGGCAAACGAGCGAGCCGGCUCGCGUUCGACUCGUGUUCGGCUCGAUAUUCGGCUCGCUCGAGCUCGACUCGAAAUUGAAUGAGCCGAGCUUGAACAAAAUAAAAGGCUCGAAAUUCAUUUCAAGCCGAGCUUGAGUAUUACUCGGCUCGUUCGAAUUAGGCUCGAAAAGCUCGAAAAGCUCGAAUAUAUAUAUAUAUAUAUAUAUAUAGUGCAGCUAUGGUGCUUGGAAAAACACCAAGCAUUUGGUGCUUGUAAGUCUUGUACCGUUAGAUCUACUCCUUUGAUCAUUUUCAACCAUUAGAUUAUACUAUUCAACCAAACACCCACUCAACCCUAGGGGGCCCACAUCAUCCUAACCGCAUAUCUCUUAAUUCAAUGGCUAAAAAUUUACAAGCACCAAUAACUUGAUACUUUUAAAAGUAUCAAAGCUCAAUUCGUAUCUAUCUACUAUAUAAUAUAUAUAUAUAUAUAUAUAUUAUAUAUAUAUAUAUAUAUAUAUAUAUAAAAUGUAUUUUAAUUAUAUAUAGGCUUUAAUUACAUUUGAUAUUAUUGUUGUCCAUAAAAUAAACCCAACAAAAUACAACCGUGGCAAUUGAGCCCAACUCUAAAUUUACAUAACACACUUUCUCUUUCAGACUUUCACUGUUGCAGCAUAACCUAAAACAUGAUAAAUUCAAAUUCUCAAAUCCCUAAUUUUUUUUUCCACUCUCUCUCUCUCUCGUUCUCCCUCAGACCCUCACCCAGUUAGGCAAUCACCCUAGCUCACAUUUCUUGCAAUUAUUUUGUAUUUUGAACUAUUGAACAUGUUGCAUCAAAUUAUAGGUAAUGUUAUAUAAAAAUUAAACUAUUGAUUAUAUAAUGUCAAGAAUUUCAAUAGACUCGUUUAGAGCUCGAGCUCGGCUCGACUCGAAAUUAGGCUCGCUCGAGCUCGGCUCGAAUUAAUUUCAAGCCGAGCUUGAUCCUAGAUUUAGGCUCGAAAUUAAUUUCAAGC
rnacentral:lncRNA from 1 species